AUUGAACGCUGGCGGCAUGCUUUACACAUGCAAGUCGAGGGGUAUAGUUCUUCGGAGCUAGAGACCGGCGCGCGGGUGCGUAACGCGUAUGCAAUCUACCUUUUGCAGAGGGAUAGCCCAGAGAAAUUUGGAUUAAUACCUCAUAGUAUGUGAGAAUGGCAUCAUUUUCACAUUAAAGUCACAACGGCAAAAGAUGAGCAUGCGUCCCAUUAGCUUGUUGGUAAGGUAACGGCUUACCAAGGCAACGAUGGGUAGGGGUCCUGAGAGGGAGAUCCCCCACACUGGUACUGAGACACGGACCAGACUCCUACGGGAGGCAGCAGUGAGGAAUAUUGGACAAUGGGCGCAAGCCUGAUCCAGCCAUGCCGCGUGCAGGAUGACGGUCCUAUGGAUUGUAAACUGCUUUUGUACAGGAAGAAACACUGGUUCGUGAACCAGCUUGACGGUACUGUAAGAAUAAGGAUCGGCUAACUCCGUGCCAGCCGCCGCAGUAAAAC
rnacentral:rRNA from 1 species